rfam:Methanococcoides burtonii DSM 6242, complete genome.
UAGGGACCUGAGACUUCCCUGUCCGCUCAGGGAAACAUCGCUUCCGACUGUGUCGGUGGUCAGGUAACAAGUGACAGCCACGAAGUAUCACAGCUCAACG